GGAGGUGGUACUGUGUUACUAUGGGGAGGUGGUACUGGGUUACCAUGUGGAGGGGUGGUGGUACUGUUUUACUAUGUGGAGGGGUGGUGGUACUGUGUUACUAUGUGGAGGGGUGGUGGUACUGUGUUACUAUGGGGAGGGGUGGUGGUACUGUGUUACUAUGUGGAGGGGUAGUGGUACUGUGUUACUAUGUGGAGGGGUAGUGGUAUUGUGUUACUAAGUGGAGGGGUGGUGGUACUGUGUUACUAUGGGGAGGUGGUGCUGUGUUACGAUGUGGAGGGGUGGUGGUACUGUGUUACUAUGGGGAGGGGUAGUGGUAUUGUGUUACUAAGUGGAGGGGUGG
ensembl:lncRNA